rnacentral:rRNA from 1 species
GAAUGUAUUUUCCUGAAAAGUAAUGCCAUAGAUGAGUCGGCGCUGAUUAGGCUGUUGGUGAGGUAAAGGCUCACCAAACCAUAGAUCAGUAGGGGUUGUGAGAGCAAUAGCCUCGAGAAGGACACUGAGACAAGGGUCCUAGCCCUAAGGGGUGCAGCAGGUGCGAAAACUUUACAAUGCACGAAAGUGUGAUAAGGGAACCCAAAGUGCUCACUUUUAGUGGGCUUUUUUUAAGUGUAAAAAGCUUAAAGAAUAAGUGGUGGGCAAGACCGGUGCCAGCCGCCGCGGUAACACCGGCGCCACAAGUGGUAACCACGAUUAUUGGGCCUAAAGGGUCCGUAGCCGAUUUGAUAAGUCUCUUGUGAAAUUGUUGAGCUUAACUUAACAGCGUGCAAGAGAAACUAUUAUUUUAGGGACCAGGAGGGGUUAGAAGUAUGCUUUGGGGAGUGGUAAAAUGCGAUAAUCCUUAGUAGACUACCAAUGGUGAAGACAUCUAACUAGAAUGGGUCCGACGGUAAGGGACGAAAGCUGAGGGAGCGAUCCGGAUUAGAUACCCGAGUAGUCUCAGCUGUAAACUCUGCGAACUAUGUGUUGCAUGUUCUCAGUGAACAUGCAGUGCCG